rnacentral:tRNA from 1 species
AGCAAAAUGGCUCAGUUGGGAGAGCGUUAGACUAUACAUCGAAAGAGCCCUGGUUCGAUCCCGGGAUUAGGAA